AUUGAACGCUGGCGGCAGGCCUAACACAUGCAAGUCGAACGGUAGCACAGAGGAGCUUGCUCCUUGGGUGACGAGUGGCGGACGGGUGAGUAAUGUCUGGGAAACUGCCCGAUGGAGGGGGAUAACUACUGGAAACGGUAGCUAAUACCGCAUAACGUCGCAAGACCAAAGAGGGGGACCUUCGGGCCUCUUGCCAUCGGAUGUGCCCAGAUGGGAUUAGCUAGUAGGUGGGGUAACGGCUCACCUAGGCGACGAUCCCUAGCUGGUCUGAGAGGAUGACCAGCCACACUGGAACUGAGACACGGUCCAGACUCCUACGGGAGGCAGCAGUGGGGAAUAUUGCACAAUGGGCGCAAGCCUGAUACAGCCAUGCCGCGUGUAUGAAGAAGGCCUUCGGGUUGUAAAGUACUUUCAGCGAGGAGGAAGGCGUUGUGGUUAAUAACCGCAACGAUUGACGUUACUCGCAGAAGGAGCACCGGCUAACUCCGUGCCAGCCGCCGCG
rnacentral:rRNA from 1 species